rnacentral:rRNA from 1 species
AUUGAACGCUGGCGGCAUGCCUUACACAUGCAAGUCGAACGGCAGCACGGGUGCUUGCACCUGGUGGCGAGUGGCGAACGGGUGAGUAAUAUAUCGGAACGUACCUUAUUGUGGGGGAUAACGCAGCGAAAGCUGUGCUAAUACCGCAUAAUCCCUAAGGGGGAAAGCGGGGGACCGUAAGGCCUCGCGCAAUUAGAGCGGCCGAUACCUGAUUAGCUAGUUGGUGAGGUAAAGGCUCACCAAGGCAACGAUCAGUAGCUGGUCUGAGAGGACGAGCAGCCACACUGGGACUGGGACACGGCCCAGACUCCUACGGGAGGCAGCAGUGGGGAAUUUUGGACAAGGGGGGCAACCCUGAUCCAGCAAUGCCGCGUGAGUGAAGAAGGCCUUCGGGUUGUAAAGCUCUUUUGUCAGGGAAGAAACAGCAGCUCUAACACAGUAUGCGAAUGACGGUACCUGAAGAAUAAGCACCGGCUAACUACGUGCCAGCCGCCGCCGUAA